CAGAAACCAUGCGAGUCUCUGGGGAUAGGCUAGUGAACAGUUUGUGGAGUUCACAGUCUAGCAAGAGAGACACCAAACAAAUGAAAUAAUUGGAUGUUGUGAUCAGGUCUAUGAAGGAAAAGAUCAGACUCCAAGAAUGGAGAUUAAGGCAACCUGAAGCCACUAAAAUGCUAAAGGGAAGGAGUCAACAUUCAUCUUGAUGCUUUCAGUAUCUGCUCUCAUGAAGCGGCAGCUAAGAAGCUGGCAUUUCCUCUUUUUUGCCUGCAUGUCCAAAGGAUUUUUUUCUUUUCCUUUGAAGUCGAG
rnacentral:lncRNA from 13 species